UAGGGAAUCUUCCGCAAUGGGCGAAAGCCUGACGGAGCAACGCCGCGUGAGUGAUGAAGGUCUUCGGAUCGUAAAACUCUGUUAUUAGGGAAGAACAAAUGUGUAAGUAACUAUGUACGUCUUGACGGUACCUAAUCAGAAAGCCACGGCUAACUACGUGCCAGCAGCCGCGGUAAUACGUAGGUGGCAAGCGUUAUCCGGAAUUAUUGGGCGUAAAGCGCGCGUAGGCGGUUUUUUAAGUCUGAUGUGAAAGCCCACGGCUCAACCGUGGAGGGUCAUUGGAAACUGGAAAACUUGAGUGCAGAAGAGGAAAGUGGAAUUCCAUGUGUAGAGGUGAAAUGCGCAGAGAUAUGGAGGAACACCAGUGGCGAAGGCGACUUUCUGGUCUGUAACUGACGCUGAUGUGCGAAAGCGUGGGGAUCAAACAGG
rnacentral:rRNA from 1 species